CUUUUUCCGGCAAAUGUCAGCUCCGCGGGUCUUGGCUGUUUUCUUAAUGGUUUGGUUUUUACCUGUCGGGACUUGGAGCAUCUGGUUGAAAAAGUUUCAGAUUCCUUCUAGACGUGAUGCUUCUGCGACCGCGAUCUCUCCCAGGAAAACAGAUGUUACUCUGAACCAGGGCACUGUGAAGACACUGCAAUCAAACGACGGCUGUUAAUACUUAAGAAGCUUCCAAGAUGAACUGAUUGGGUCGAAGAGCAUUUAACAAGCAAGGAAGAAAGAAGCAGUGCUGCUUACCCGGUCUGCUGUAGCACUGGCAAUAAUCAUGUCCAGUACGCUCGUGUUGUACUCAGGUGUGCAGAGCUUGCUUGGGGCCACUUUCAUUGCAACUGAGAGUGCUACACUUCGUCCAUGUCUCACCAUCCAAUCAAUACCUGACACAUCAGCUGCAAAGCAAAAUUGUAAUGUCAACAAUUUGACUCUCA